GACUUGGAUCACAGCUGGGGGAUAAGAAACAGACACUGAGUUAUGAUUCACUACGGUAGACACACACACAUCUGUUUCAACGAGAGAGAGAGAGAUAGAGUGCAUGACCUCACCACUGUCAAGGGAGGGGGAGAAAGAGAGAGAGUUGUGAGACCUGUUUUAGUGUGCCCUGUUAGGCAGUGUACCGAACUCUGUGAUAGUUUCCCCCUCAUAUAAAUUCCUGUGGUCUGGUCCAAAGGAAACAGAACUUAGAUAGUAUUAGGGAGUAUGUGCUUGUAUCGGAGGGACUGGUGAGGUAUGGUCCCGUGUGACUCAGUUGGCAGGCUCGUACAGGAGGGACUAGUGAGGUAUGGUCCCGUGUGACUCAGUUGGCAGGCUCGUACAGGAGGGACUAGUGAGGUAUGGUCCCGUGUGACUCAGUUGGCAGGCUCGUACAGGAGGGACUAGUGAGGUAUGGUCCCGUGUGACUCAGUUGGCAGGCUCGUACAGGAGGGACUAGUGAGGUAUGGUCCCGUGUGACUCAGUUGGCAGGCUCGUACAGGAGGGACUAGUGAGGUAUGGUCCCGUGUGACUCAGUUGGCAGGCUCGUACAGGAGGGACUAGUGAGGUAUGGUCCCGUGUGACUCAGUUGGCAGGCUCGUACAGGAGGGACUAGUGAGGUAUGGUCCCGUGUGACUCAGUUGGCAGGCUCGUACAGGAGGGACUAGUGAGGUAUGGUCCCGUGUGACUCAGUUGGCAGGCUCGUACAGGAGGGACUAGUGAGGUAUGGUCCCGUGUGACUCAGUUGGCAGGCUCGUACAGGAGGGACUAGUGAGGUAUGGUCCCGUGUGACUCAGUUGGCAGGCUCGUACAGGAGGGACUGGUGAGGUAUGGUCCCGUGUGACUCAGUUGGCAGGCUCGUACAGGAGGGAUUGGUGAGGUAUGGUCCCGUGUGACUCAGUUGGCAGGGCAUGGCACUUGCAAUACCAGGGCUGUGAGUUUGAUUCCGACGGGGGACCAGUAUGAAAAUGUAUGCACUAAGUACUGUAAGUCACUAUGGAUACGAGUGUCUACUAAAAUGGUAUGAGAGACUGUUGCACACUAGCGCACAUGCUGGGAAUUGAGGGCUGAAUGAAA